AUUGAACGCUGGCGGAAUGCUUUACACAUGCAAGUCGAACGGUAGAGGGGGCAACCCUUGAGAGUGGCGAACGGGUGAGUAAUGUAUCGGAACGUGCCCAGUCGUGGGGGAUAACGUAGUGAAAAUUACGCUAAUACCGCAUACGAUCUAUGGAUGAAAGCGGGGGAUCGCAAGACCUCGCGCGAUUGGAGCGGCCGAUAUCAGAUUAGGUAGUUGGUGGGGUAAAGGCUCACCAAGCCAACGAUCUGUAGCUGGUCUGAGAGGACGACCAGCCACACUGGGACUGAGACACGGCCCAGACUCCUACGGGAGGCAGCAGUGGGGAAUUUUGGACAAUGGGCGCAAGCCUGAUCCAGCAAUGCCGCGUGCAGGAUGAAGGCCUUCGGGUUGUAAACUGCUUUUGUACGGAACGAAACGGUGAGCUCUAAUACAGUUUGCUAAUGACGGUACCGUAAGAAUAAGCACCGGCUAACUACGUG
rnacentral:rRNA from 1 species